rnacentral:lncRNA from 1 species
UGCAGUCAGACGAGAUUGUGCCACUGCACUCCAGCCUGGGCAACAGAAAGAGACUCUAAGAAAAAAAAAAAAAUUACAAACCAGAAUUCCUCCACACCCAAAGAACUGUGAGAAUCCUGACCAGCAGGGAAGAGGCCAUCAGCAGACACCAAGGUUGAGAAGGCGUUGAAAUGACAGAAAGACUGACAAAAUCUGUUUUUUAAAAUUUUACUCAUUUAAAAAUUUUUUCUUGAGACAAGGUCUUGCUCUGUCACCCAGGAUGGAGUGCAGUGGCGUAAUCUUAACUCACUGUAGCCUUGAAUUCUCGGGCUCAAGUGAUCCUCCUGCCCCAGCGUCCCAAGCAGCUGACACCACAGGCACGCACCACCACCACACCCCAUUAAUUUUUUUUUUACUUUUUGUAGAGACAGAUAUUCGGGCGCCCCCAGUCUAGCCACACGUAUGCCCCCCAGUGGUGGUUCUGGGAAUGACCAAGGUUGGCUGCUGAAGUCAGUUGUCUGGGCAGGUGGCAGGAGACAUUGCACAUCGAUGUGAAGCGUGACCCAGUCACUUGGAACAGCUGGACCUGUUGCAUCUUCCUCCUUAGCAAUAAGCCUCGUGAGCAUCGGAUCCUUCCAGAAAAGCCAUUGUGCGAUCGGGCCACACCCAGAUUAGCGGGCACAGCACAGCGGGGCAGUAGACACCCUCAGAAAAGGUGCCAGGGGGCGGCUGGGGCUGGACGGGCUUGUGCACUCAUCAGUCACACUACUUUUAAGAGCUGUUACCAGAUUACCUUAAAAAAAAAAGCUGUAACAGGCUGAGGAGGCAGGAGGAUUGCUCGAGGCCAGGAGUUUGAGACUAGCCUGGGCAACAGAGUGAGACCCUGUCUCUACAAAACAUAAAAGAAUUAGCCAGGCGUGGUGAUGCCUGUAGUCCCAGCUACUCCGGAGGCUGAGCGGGUGGGAGAAUCGCUUGAGCCCAGGAGGUCAAGACAGCGGUGAGCCCCAGCCUGCGCGACAGAUCAAAACCCUCUCAAAUUGAAAAGGGGGUUACCUCGUCGCUUUCAUUGGCCUUUCCAUGAUUCCUGAUGGGAUGAGGACUUUCUUCAUGGAAUUACCAGCCAGUUUCCUGCUCUGCGAAUGAUUUCUCCACAUCUCUGCUCACUUUUCCAUAUCGGUUUUUGUCAUUUUCUUUAGCAACAUAUAAAAACUCUUUAAAUAUUAAGGACCUUAAUCACUCCCAUGUGUGGCAAAUAUUUCUUAUUUCUUCCCCAACU